GUGCUCGCUUUGGCAGCAUAUAUACUAAAAUAGAAACGAUACAGAGAAGAUUAGCAUGGCCCCUACACAAGGAUAAGUAAAUUUGUGAAGCAUUCCGUAUUUUU